UACGUAGGGCGCGAGCGUUGUCCGGAAUUAUUGGGCGUAAAGAGCUCGUAGGCGGUUUGUCGCGUCUGCUGUGAAAACGCGAGGCUCAACCUCGCGCCUGCAGUGGGUACGGGCAGACUAGAGUGCGGUAGGGGAGAUUGGAAUUCCUGGUGUAGCGGUGGAAUGCGCAGAUAUCAGGAGGAACACCGGUGGCGAAGGCGGCUAUCUGGACCGACAUUGACGCUGAGGCGCGAAAGCGUGGGGAGCAAACAGG
rnacentral:rRNA from 1 species